rnacentral:rRNA from 1 species
GACGAACGCUGGCGGCGUGCCUAAUACAUGCAAGUAGAACGCUGAAGAGAGGAGCUUACUCUUCUUGGAUGAGUUGCGAACGGGUGAGUAACGCGUAGGUAACCUGCCUUGUAGCGGGGGAUAACUAUUGGAAACGAUAGCUAAUACCGCAUAACAAUGGAUGACACAUGUCAUUUAUUUGAAAGGGGCAAUUGCUCCACUACAAGAUGGACCUGCGUUGUAUUAGCUAGUAGGUGAGGUAAUGGCUCACCUAGGCGACGAUACAUAGCCGACCUGAGAGGGUGAUCGGCCACACUGGGACUGAGACACGGCCCAGACUCCUACGGGAGGCAGCAGUAGGGGAUCUUCGGCAAUGGGGGCAACCCUGACCGAGCAACGCCGCGUGAGUGAAGAAGGUUUUCGGAUCGUAAAGCUCUGUUGUAAGUCAAGAACGGGUGUGAGAGUGGAAAGUUCACACUGUGACGGUAGCUUACCAGAAAGGGACGGCUAACUACGUG